rnacentral:rRNA from 1 species
AACGAACGCUGGCGGCAUGCUUUACACAUGCAAGUCGAACGGUAGAGGGGGCAACCCCUCGAGAGUGGCGAACGGGUGAGUAAUAUAUCGGAACGUGCCCAGUCGUGGGGGAUAACGUAGCGAAAGUUACGCUAAUACCGCAUACGAUCUAAGGAUGAAAGCGGGGGAUCGCAAGACCUCGCGCGAUUGGAGCGGCCGAUAUCAGAUUAGGUAGUUGGUGGGGUAAAGGCUCACCAAGCCAACGAUCUGUAGCUGGUCUGAGAGGACGACCAGCCACACUGGAACUGAGCACCGGGCCAGACUCCUACGGGAGGCAGCAGUGGGGAAUUUUGGACAAUGGACGCAAGUCUGAUCCAGCCAUUCCGCGUGCAGGAUGAAGGCCCUCGGGUUGUAAACUGCUAUUGUACAGAACGAAAAGGUUUCUACUAAUACUAGGAGCUCAUGACGGUACUGUAAGAAUAAGCACCGGCUAACUACGUGCCAGCCGCCGCAGUAA